rnacentral:rRNA from 1 species
UACGUAGGUGGCAAGCGUUGUCCGGAUUUACUGGGCGUAAAGAGCGCGCAGGCGGUUGGUUAAGUCGAAUGUGAAAGCCCCCCGGCUCAACUGGGGAGGGUCAUUCGAUACUGAUCGACUUGAAGGCAGGAGAGGGUAGUGGAAUUCCCGGUGUAGUGGUGAAAUGCGUAGAUAUUGGGAGGAACACCAGUGGCGAAGGCGACUACCUGGCCUGUUCUUGACGCUGAGGCGCGAAAGCUGGGGGAGCAAACGGGG